AUACGGAGGGGGUUAGCGUUGUUCGGAAUUACUGGGCGUAAAGCGCACGUAGGCGGAUUGGAAAGUUGGGGGUGAAAUCCCAGGGCUUAACCCUGGAACUGCCUCCAAAACUAACAGUCUAGAGUUCGAGAGAGGUGAGUGGAAUUCCAAGUGUAGAGGUGAAAUUCGUGGAUAUUUGGAGGAACACCAGUGGCGAAGGCGGCUCACUGGCUCGAUACUGACGCUGAGGUGCGAAAGCGUGGGGAGCAAACAGGAUUAGAAACCACAGUAGUCC
rnacentral:rRNA from 1 species